rnacentral:tRNA from 1 species
CUGCCCGUAGCUCAACCGGAUAGAGCAACGGCCUUCUAAGCCGUAGGUUACAGGUUCGAUUCCUGUCGGGCAGG